rnacentral:lncRNA from 1 species
GGGUUCCGGUUGACAUUCCGGGUAAUGAGUGUCGAUCGGGACAUCUCGACAGUUGUCAAGGCUCGAGGGGAGUUCCGGGUCGUGACAGGUUUGCUGGUGAAAUUCUUCUUGGGAGCCAUUUCAAUUUGGAGAUAUUUGGAGAUGUGUUUGAAGAAAAAAGAUGAGAGGUAGAGCCUGUCCCACCGAGUGUGCCAGAAAUUUGUACACAUAAAUUUCUUGUCGAAAUUUCUUCACUUGAAAAUUAUGAGACAAAUACAAAUAUUUGGUGUGAGUUAUAAUCUUUGAAAAUUCCUUUGAUUAACUUCUUCACUUCGUCUUCAAGAGUCACGAUUUCGGACUUAGUCUUAAUCACGAACUUCACUUGAUCUUCGCUUCAAGAGUCUUAGCGACUUGAUCUUGAUCACGAACUAUAUUUGAUAUCUUUGCUUUAAGGGUCUUCACGACUUGAUCUUGAUCACCAACUACGCUUGAUAUCUUCGCGUAAAGUGUUUUCACGACUUGAUCUUGAUCACCAACUACGCUUAAUAUCUUUGCUUCAAGGGUCUUCACGACUUAAUCUUAAUCACGAACUUCGCUCGAUGACUUAAUCACGAACUUCACUACCACUUGAUUUUGAUCACGAAC